rnacentral:rRNA from 1 species
CACGUAGGGGGCGAGCGUUGUCCGGAUUUAUUGGGCGUAAAGAGCUCGUAGGCGGUUCGGCAAGUCGGGUGUGAAAUUUCGAGGCUCAACCUCGAAACGCCACUCGAUACUGCUGUGACUGGAGUCCGGUAGAGGGGUGCGGAAUUCCUGGUGUAGCGGUGAAAUGCGCAGAUAUCAGGAGGAACACCAACGGCGAAGGCAGCACUCUGGGCCGGUACUGACGCUGAGGAGCGAAAGCGUGGGGAGCAAACAGG